ensembl:lncRNA WDR87BP WD repeat domain 87B, pseudogene
GGUUCUCAUAGCACACCGGGCUGGCGCGGAAGGGAGCCAAUGGUCCGGCUUAGACACCUGCCUCUGCUCCUGCCCAACGCCCUGAGACACCAGCCCUGCUUUAAGGCAGUGUUUGGAGACAAGGCAUGAACAGUUCCUAGAGCAGUGUCUGGCACAUGUUCUGUAAUCCAAGAUGUCUGUAAAGAGCUGGGAUAUCACUAGGAAAUCAUCUUCAUCCAGACUUAUUCCUGAGUGGAAGAACUUGAAGUUCCUCAUAAAUAAGAUCCUGAAGGACAUAAAGAAUGAUGAAGAACCAAAGAAUGAUGUGGUUCUACUGAGUGACUGGCCUGAGACUCUAUACCGGGAGUCUCACCAUCCACAGAACAAGCCUUUUGUCUGCUUCUACUACUCCAUCAAGGUCAACUGUUUUGUCUCCUUAAACUGGAUGGAACCCUGUGGAAAAAUGCAGGCAAGAAAUUAUCGGAGAAAUCACUCUGGGCCAACUGCUGAAUAUUCAAGCUGAAGAUAUACAGUCCCUGCUUAUUCAUGUGGAGCAGCAGCUAAAUGAAAACUUGACCUUGUUACAAAGAGAAAAGUCAUUUACUUUUUCUUUUGAUAUACCAUGGUCUGAAGAACUUAAGGUCUUUUCUGAAGACAUGUGCAUACCUUUGUCAGAACCUGUAAAGAUCACCAAACCAAAGAAAAGAAAGAGACAUUUUCAAGCAAGGAGCAGAAAGCUUAUUAAAAAGGACCUGAGAGUUGCCAGGAAGCACAGAAAGACAAAAUUGGAAAUGUCUAGUUCCAUGUUGAUGCCUUCAGAAGAUGCAGGUGAACAAAGAGAGGCCGGGAAAUCAGAGCUAGUUGAAACCCAACAUGUUACCUUAGAGCCAGAGCUACCACUGAGUUCUCUAAGCACAGUCAAAUCCCAGGAUUAUGCUGAAACAGAGCAGGAGGUCAUUUUACAAGCUAUAGAGGCCAUGGAGGCCACAGAAGCCCUGGAGGCCACAGACGCCAUGGAAGCCAUAGAUCAAGGUAGCAUGAAAGAUUAUGGAGAUGUGAUCUCUAAGCUGGAAAGAAAAGAACACAUUAAAAGGCUUUGGAAAAAGUCAAUGAGAAAAGGCAGAAUUGCAGAUGUGCUGUGGAAAGAGAAAAAAGAUUUGAAGGAUAUUUCAGAGGUGACUACAGAAGAACCUAAGGAAGACAUCGUAAAAAUUGAUGAGCAAGAAGAAGGUAAAAGCAAGAAAAGUGAAAAGAAGAGCCGGGGUUUGGCUGGGACUCCUGGACGUGCAGGUAGACCAGACACCAGAUCUUGGAGGGAUGGCAUUUGUUCUUUUGUCACUUCAAGGAUAGCAAGUUCCCAUCCAGGAAUGUUAAGGUGAAGGUGAAGCUCACUGGGUAGCUUAUGCAGAGUAUUUAUCUUCCUUAUAAAUCACACACCUUUUCUCUGCUGUGAAUGGAGAUUUCCAACUAACAUCCCAAGUGUAUGUCUCUUCCCUGACCACACAGGUUGUUAUUUACACAGAUGGCUUCCCACAGUCAGACUUAUUUUUACCUGUACACCAUCUUCCUUUUUCUUCCCUUACAAUCAUCCAGGGCUCUUUUCCUUGCUCCAAUGAUGUAAUUACAUCUGGCUUAGAAAAGUCAUGUCCUGCUUACAAAGAAAAAAAGGCCACUUGAUAUAGAAACAUACUUUGCUGUCAAAAUUACAAUUGUAAUAAAUCAAGGAUCAAAAUGAAA